AAUGUGAAGUCAAGGACGUUGGUGUCCAGACAGAGGUUUCCUGCCCUCCCAACUCGCUGCUGUUUUUCUGCACGAAAAAGGUGACCUUAGAUGAUGAGCCGCGUUGUCCUGAAGUCAAUGAGAGAGAUGAGCCAGUUUCCAGGUCGUGUACCCCAGCAGGUCACGGUGGUAGCCAGGGGGCCAUGCUAAGAGACCACGUCACACACUGCUGACUAACAUACGAUGAUGAGUUUGUCAAUGAUGAGCAGCGGCAGAGAACAGCUUACCUGCUGUUCUAUGAAAAACAGUGUACACCGAGGGCCGUGGGAGCGUUGCAAUUACAAAUUCUUGUGUAUGACCUGUCCAUAUGUUUUUUUGACAAAAAGAUGACUUUGAAUUUGAGCAUGUCC
ensembl:lncRNA